GAUGAAGAACGCAGCGAAAUGCGAUAAGUAAUGUGAAUUGCAGAAUUCAGUGAAUCAUCGUAUCUUUGAACGCACAUUGCGCCCGCUAGUAUUCUGGCGGGCAUGCCUGUCCGAGCGUCAUUUCAACCCUCAAGCCCCCGGGCUUGGUGUUGGGGAUCGGCGAGCCUCCGCGCCCGCCGUCCCCUAAAUCUAGUGGCGGUCUCGCUGUAGCUUCCUCUGCGUAGUAGCACACCUCGCACUGGGAAACAGCGCGGCCACGCCGUUAAACCCCCAACUUCUGAACGUUUGACCUCGGAUCAGGUAGGAAUACCCGCUGAACUUAAGCAUAUCAAUAAGCGGAGGA
rnacentral:misc_RNA from 1 species